AUGAAUGAGGAGUACGAUGUGAUUGUGCUGGGCAUCGGCCUGGUGGAAUGUAUCCUUUCUGGUAUAAAGUCAGUGAAGGGCAAGAAAGUUCUUCAUAUGGAUUGAAACCUUUACUAUGGAGGAGAGAGUGACUCUAUAACAUUACUGGAAGAUUUAUACAAAAGAUUUAAAAUACUGGGACCACCAUCAGCAUCAAUGAGGAGAGGAAGAGACUGGAAUGUUGACUUGAUUCCCAAGUUCCUUGUGGCUAAUGGUCAGCUGGUUAAGACGCUGCUUUAUACAGAGAUAACUCGCUAUCUGGAUUUUAGUGACUGAAGGGAGAUUUGUCUAUAAAGGUGGAAAAAUCUACAAGGUUCCUUCCACUGAAACAGAAGCCCUGACAUCUAGCUUAAUAGGACUGUUUAAGAAACGUCACUUCAGGAAAUUCCUAGUAUAUUUUGCCAACUUAGAGGAAAAAGAUCCGAGAACUUCAGAGGGAAUUGAUCCUAAGAAGACCACAAUGUGAGAGGUGUAUAAGAAAUUUGAUUUGGGCCAAGAUGUUGCAGAUUUUACUGGUCAUGCUCUUGCACUUUACAAAACUGAUGACUACUUAGAUCAACCAUGUUGUGAAACCAUUAAUAGAAUUAAACAUGACAGUGAAUCUUUGGCAAGAUAUGGCAAAAGUCCAUACCUUUAUUCACUCUGUGGCCUUGGAGAACUGCCACAAGGCUUUCUGCAAGGCUAAGUGCUAUUUAUGAAGGUACCUAUAUGCUGAAUAAACCAAUUGAAGAAAUCAUUGGGCAGAAUGGAAAAGUAAUUGGUGUAAAAUCUGAAGGUGAAAUUGCUCACUGUAAGCAGGUCAUCUGUGACCUCCACUAUAUAAAAGAUUGGCCAGAAAAAGUGGGCCAGGUAAUCAGAGUUAUUUGCAUCCUCAGCCACCUCAUCAAGAACACCAGUGAUGUCAACUCCUGCCAGAUCAUUAUUCCACAGAACCAAGUCAGUCGAAAGUCAGAUAUCUGUGUUUCCACGAUCUCCUCCUCGCACAAUGUAGCAGCACAUGGGAAGUAUAUUGCCAUAGUUACUACAACUGUGGAAACCAAGGAGCCUGAGAAGGAAGUCAGACCAGCUAUGGAGCUCUUGGAUCCAACUAGAUGGGAAUUUAUUAGCAUCAGUGGCCUCCUGGUACCGAAAGACUUGGUAACAGAAAGCCAGAUCUUUAUUUCCAGUGCACACAAUCCUACCACUCACUUUGAGACAAUUGGGAUGACAUUAAAAAACAUCUAUAAGAAGAUUAGAGGAUUAGAGUUUGACUUUGAGGAAAUGAAGCAUAAGAAAAAUGACAUCUAUGGGGAAGACUAACAGCAGUACAUGUUAUUAUCCAAUUAGGACAAAUUUAAAAUUUGGUAAAUAAUGCAUAUUAUAUGAAAUCAAUAUUGUAAGGCCUGCUUUUGUAAUCAAAAUGGAGAGAUUGAAGAGUGCUGUGUCAGUAAAUACUCCUCCCCUUCAUCUUUCUAAUAUCAUAUAUUAACUUGUUUUCAUGGAGUGGCUAUUCAGAAUUCACCUGUUACCACAUUCUCUUCAAUUUAAUCAAACUGGUUUUUUUUUUUCCCCAG